rnacentral:rRNA from 1 species
AUUGAACGCUGGCGGCAGGCCUAACACAUGCAAGUCGAGCGAGCGGCGGACGGGUGAGUAAUGUCUGGGAAACUGCCUGAUGGAGGGGGAUAACUCCUGGAAACGGUAGCUAAUACCGCAUACCAUCGGAUGUUCCCAGAUGGGAUUAGCUAGUAGGUGGGGUAACGGCUCACCUAGUCGACGAUCCCUAGCUGGUCUGAGAGGAUGACCGGCCACACUGGAACUGAGACACGGUCCAGACUCCUACGGGAGGCAGCAGUGGGGAAUAUUGCACAAUGGGCGAAAGCCUGAUGCAGCCAUGCCGCGUGUGUGAAGAAGGCCUUCGGGUUGUAAAGCACUUUCAGCGGGGAGGCGUUACCCGCAGAAGAAGCACCGGCUAACUCCGUGCCAGCAGCCGCGGUAAUAC